CACUCUCCUUCGCAAUUUCUGGUCCUUGCCCACCCUCCUCUGCUGUCAGCUCUAUCUCCGCCUCCAACUCCUCCUUGGGGUCUUCCAGAAUGCCCAUGACAAUACCUCUCAGGCAUUCAAGAAGGGGAGACAGGAACAGACUGUAUCUUAAUACCUCAGCAAAGAAAGAACUCUAAACAAGCCAACAACAACACCAAAAAGGAAAACAUCAAUUUGGACACAUGAGUGUGAGCAAGUCUCUGUAACCUUUUUAUUUCAUUUUGCAAAUUCUGUUAUUUGUGUUACGAAAGGAACUUUAAAGUGCAAAGUUAUCAUUUAA